rnacentral:rRNA from 1 species
GAUGAACGCUAGCGGGAGGCCUAACACAUGCAAGCCGAGCGGUAUUGUUUCUUCGGAAAUGAGAGAGCGGCGUACGGGUGCGGAACACGUGUGCAACCUGCCUUUAUCUGGGGGAUAGCCUUUCGAAAGGAAGAUUAAUACUCCAUAAUAUAUUUAACGGCAUCGUUUAAUAUUGAAAGCUCCGGCGGAUAGAGAUGGGCACGCGCAAGAUUAGCUAGUUGGUGAGGUAACGGCUCACCAAGGCGAUGAUCUUUAGGGGGCCUGAGAGGGUGAUCCCCCACACUGAGACUGAGACACGGACCAGACGCCUACGGGAGGCAGCAGUGAGGAAUAUUGGUCAAUGGGUGCAAGCCUGAACCCGCCAUCCCGCGUGAAGGACGACUGCCCUAUGGGUUGUAAACUUCUUUUGUAUAGGGAUAAACCUACCCUCGUGAGGGUAGCUGAAGGUACUAUACGAAUAAGCACCGGCUAACUCCGUGCCAGCCGCCGCCGUA